rnacentral:lncRNA from 10 species
GAGAUUGCACGAUUGUACUCCAGCCUGGGUAGUAAGAGCGAAACUCCAUCUCAGAAAAACAAAAAACAAAAACAAAAAAGCAAAACAACCCUUGGCUCCUCAAGCAUGUGAGCUCAGGCAGGGCCAGCCCAGCCUUAACUGUGGAGGCUGGUGGGACAGUCCCAUGGGGAAGCCCACUGCUGCGCCGCUUGGAGGAGGAAACCCAGCAUGUGAGGCUGCUCAUUGUCACGUGGUUUGCUGUGCUCUGCAGAAGGAGAUUCUGUGUUCACACCCAGGAUGUCAUGGAAGAGGAGCUCAUCCCAUUCAUCUCCCUGGCACAGGGUAGACACUUGGGGGAUGCUGCAUUAAGUGAAGUGAACCUGACUCUGUUUCUUUAGCCCCAGCCCACCCGAGUCUCAAUCUUCCCAUCUGUCAAGAGAAAUAAUAAGAUUAUUUGCCUCUAAACAGGUGGCUGAGAUCAUAGAUAGUGCAAAUGAUGUCACUGUUGGACUCUCCGGUGUUAUAUAAAUUUAAGACAUGAACAAUAAAGAAACUACCGAUAUUUACUGCUCAGACAUGCCCACGUUAAGAUUUUAAUGGCUAAAAGGCAGUUGUUUUUCCAUCUGACAUUAUGUUAUUCAACAGAGUAAGUAGUCUAAGUUGGAGGAAUCCCCUUGGGAAUUGACUACAAAGAGCAAAUAAAAAAGAGUAACAGAUCCAAGACCCUUACCCCUUAAAUUUAUUUUCACUUCCUAAAUUGAACUUCAUGCAAAAUAGGUUAUUUAUCACUAGGGUAAAAUAAGAUAAUGGGGAGGUUUAAUUAGCCAAAGCCCUGUGAUAACGCGUUUCUUCCUUACCAAAUACCCAAUGAGAAUGCAUAUCAUUAAUUCUGUGGUUAGCUAAUAAGAAAAUGAAAAAAGCUCCCUUAAUUUUUCCUUGAAAAAAUUUUUAAACUAACACAAAGAUGCCAAUGAAUGAGUAUUUUGCUUACAUCCAUUCACUCCAUCCAACUCUCAUUCAAAUGCUCAUUGUGCACCUGCUAAGGUCAGGUGCGUGCUUUCUGCCAAGCAUUCCAAGAGGAACGUCACAUAGUCUUUGCCCUCAGGAAGCGUACGGUCUGGUUGGGAAAGAGAUGCUUCCAACAAUAAUUCUGAUACCUGUGUGAUAUGGUUUGGCUGUGUCCCCACCCAAAUCUCAUCCUGAAUCCUACUCCCAUAAUUCCCACGUGUUGUGGGAUGGAACUGGUGAGAGAUAAUUGAAUCACGAGCGCGGUUUCUCCCAUACUGUUCUUGUGCUAGUGAAUAAAUCUCACGAGAUCUGAUGGUUUUAUAAACGAGAAGCCCUUUUCGCUUGACCCUCAUUAUAGCUCAUGCCGCAGCCAGGUAAGAAGUGCCUUUCGCCUUCCGCCUUCCGCCAUGACUGUUAGGCCUCCCUAGCCACGUGGAACUUUAAGUCCAUUAAACGUCUUUCUUUUAUAAAUUGCCCAGUCUUGGGUAUGUCUUUAUCAGCAGCGCGAAAACAGAUUACUAACACACUGUGGUAAAGGUGAAAUCAGUGCUCACUCCUUCGGGUGAAUUCCGUCACAUAAUCUCCACUGGGGAAGGGGUGGGCAUGGGCAGCUCCUGGGAGCUGAUGUCUUAGGGGCCCUAACACAAAAGUUCAUGCAGUUCAGCAUCCCUUCCCCUCCCAUGCCCCACAGGGCACAAACGCAUUGUUGUCCAUCACCAAAACACAUUACCCUUAGUACUCGACUCUAAUGAAGUUCCAGUUCCUCAGUUGUAUAACGAGGCUUCCAAGCUCCUAUUUUAAAAGAAAGUUUCUUGAAGCUAAAUAAAAGCACUGCUAACAUGAAAUUAACAGUGGAAAUUUUUGAGUGUAAUUUCAGGGUGAAAAAAACUGAAAAGACAAAUGUAGAUUUUAGAUAUUUCAAGGAAGGAGAGAGAGUAGUGUUGCUGGUACCAUGCCUCUGCACUUGCUAUAGCUGAGUUUCAUUUGAGUAUCCAUUAUUUGGAAGGAGUUCUUAAAUCUAAGCCUGUGGAAGACAAUAAAUUCACAUUAAUUAUCUCUCCAUUUGACUCAAUUUCUGAAGAAGUUCUAUCCUUCUGAUGAACUAUCAGAUUAAAUCCCAGAUUCCUCAGUAUGAUGUCCCUGAAUACCAAUAUAAAGAAUAAAGGAAGAGAUCAAAACCUGGAUGAAUAAUCUGUAUAAACAUGGGCAUAUACACAAGGUAUGACUAUAAUAUUGAGACUCAUCCUAUAAAGCACCUACAAAAGUUGAUUGUAUUAUUUUAUACUUAUGCUUGUGCACAUAAAAAAUAUUUGGCAGGCUAAAGGCCAAAGAACCAGGCACUGUUCUCAAAAGGACAUAGCAGAUUAACUACACCUCUAUUUGUCCUUCUAUACUCAAGGCUACUUACUGUAGUUGGGUUGACCAGGCAGAGUUUAAAUCAAUAUAUGUUGGUUGAGCCUGGAUCUUAGAUGAGAAAUUCACACUAACGUGAAAUUCACACAGACAUAUGUGGAAACACUAAAAACAUUUUCUUUUACUUCAUCCACCAGUGACUUUAAUGAAAGCAGAGCAUAAUAAUUAAUACAAGUAAUUAGAGUUGACAACUGAAGUGUCAAGAAAACCACAGUUCAUCUGUUAUCCGUCCAUCUCUGUUGAAAUAUUAGUUUACUGCCAUAUAUUAAUCUAUUUAUAAAGAGAUCCAGACAAUUAGAAAAAUUAGUCUGGAAUCACCAGGCUGAAGGCUUAGCUGAAGUUAAAAGACAAGUAAAAAUGCCUCCAAACUGUAAAACCUGAGUUGGGGAAUAAAUGGUAAAAUGUGUAAAAAUUUAGAAAAAGGUUAUAUGUGGACUGUAAAAAAUACACUGGACUCACAGGUAAUUAAGGGGUGAAUCAGAGUUGUUUCCUAAAUGGCAUAAGCCAAACUCUUAGAUAUUUCUACCAUUAGCUAAAAGGCAGAGAAGCACUCUCUCUCUCUAUUAAUGCACUUUUAAAAAUGAAAAUUGUGAAGUGUUCUGCCCUUAAAGUGGACCUUUAUUUCAGGUCUGCAUUACUUUGCUUAAUAGAUAUGGUCCUAAAGAUUAAGGUGGUGAUCCAUUUUAUCUUGUAAAAAUGCAUAAUUUAAUCUGAGUUAUAGGAAUUUAAAGCUGCCCUACUUUGAAGGCCUUUGUGACUCAAAGAUUUUUUUAAUUUAAUUUUUAAAUUGAGAAUUACCUGGCUUGGGCUUUUGGUCUUUUUAUAAUACGUAUUGCUGUCUACUUUUUUUUUUAUUCUUGGCUGCCUCAAGCUAUUCUUGCCUCCAAAAGGUGUCAGCAUAUGAAUAAAAACAGCAGAAAAUAAUUACCCUAAUUAGGUCAAUGUAUUAAGCUGUUUCUACAACUGUUUCUCUUAAACACCUUAUCUUUGUAGUCUUGGCUCAUUAGAAAUUCGACUAGUGGUAAGUAUUUAUUUUUUUCCUUCAAGGGGGUUUUUGCUUUGCUAAGCCUCGGGCAUUUGGUUCGUGCAAGAAAUCACAGAAACUGCUCCAGCGGACUCCGAAAGGAGCGGAAAAUUCUUUUGUUUGGGGGCCAUGAGGGGUGGGGGAGGGGUGGGGAUUCUGGUGUAAGCUUUUGGCUUGCAUUCGCUUUCUCCCUCCGAAAGUGGGCGACAUCAAGCAAGUCCCAGUUACAGAAAGAACCCACUGCAGGGCGUCCAGUCACUUGCCCAGUGAAAAGACUGUAAUCAGACAACUUUAAUAAAGGGAGAGCAGGAGAGUGGUGACGAAUUUCCACAUUCCGAACAAGCUUGUCGAAAGAGGAGUGCAGGGAAGGAGCAAGAAUGAGGCACUGGAAGACGGCUGUAGGCGCAUGAUGUCACAAGUUAUUGGAAGAAAUCCCUCCAACCUAGGUUGGGACAGAUGAAGGCGGCGCUUAUUGGUGUUCACCAAAACACCAGCAUGGUGUACCAGCUUUGGCUAGAUGAUGCUCAGGAAAACACAGAUCCUGGUGCCGAACAUGAGGACAGGGCAGGCCGAAGGAGAAAGUGGAAGGAGGGGAGCUUCUCUCUCAGCCUCAUCCUUCUGGGCCUGGAUGCUGGAGAGUCAUGAGGUGCUUCAGAGUACUCUGGGUGAGGAGGGAAAGAUGGUGCCCACCACAUGGAGGCCAGCCUAGGUCUUGUAUGAAACCUGUGAGGCCAGCAGGAGCCAGGCCGUGGCCUGCUGACUGCAUCUGCCAGAUGACUACCAAUGUGAGAUUCUCUCUCCCUUGCUGUCUUUGAAAAAGCAAGUUGCCAUGUGAAGAGGGCCAUAUAGCAUAGGAGCUGAAGGCAGCCUCCAACUGACGGCAAGAAAAUGAGGUCCUCAGUCUGACAACCUGCAAGAAACUGAAUGUUCUAAAAGCCACAUGAGCUUGGGAGCAGAUCUGACCCCAGCCAAAUCUCUGAAGUCCGCAGGCAGGAAAUGAAGAUCAGAAAAAGGCUAUUGUCUCAUGAAUAUGAGCCAGACUCCACAGAAGCUGGAGUCCUUCAUUAUGGAGCUAAACACAUACACCUGGCUUAGGAGUCAGAAAAACUGAAAGAGAAUUCAGGGAAGUAGAGAAAUUGCAAGCCCAGAUGCUGCUUCAUACCAAAGAAGCAAGUCAGCAGGUCAGCAACAAUGUGUAUCAGUUCCAAAAUGACUUACACAGGUACCAAGACAAGACAUUAUAUACACUUAUAUAGUCAAAUACUUUAAAACUGUUAACAAACUUGCUACAAUUGUCUCAUUUGUCUUUUAACCUUAAUAUCACAGAUCAAGUUUGUAAUCUCAAAAGUUCACCCUGGCUGCUGUGUGGAGUAUUCUCUUAUCUGCUCAUAUUACACUGUGCUUAUUCAUUCAUCAGUUAAUGGAAAUUUGGGUUGUUUCCUGAUUUUGACUGUAAUGAAUAAUGUUGCUGUAAACAUUCAUGUACAGUUUUGUGUGGACAUGCUUUUCUUUCUCUUGGGUAGGUUCCUAUGAGUGGAAUCACUAGAUUGUAUGGUAAAUGUAUGUUUAACUUUUAAAGAAACUGUCAAACUGUUUUCUAACAUGAACGGGCCAUUUUACGUUCUUAUCAACAAUAUAUGAUGGUUUCAAUUUUCCCACAUCCUCACCAACAUUUGGUAUUGUCUCUCUUUUACAUCAUAACUAUUUUAGUGGGGAUGUAGUGAUAUCUUAUCGUGGUUUUAAUUUGUGUCUCCCUAAUGACUAAUGAUAUUGUGCAUCUUUGCAUAUGCUUGUUAGCCAUUUAUGUACAUUCUUUAGUGAAAUGGCUAUUCAAAUCUUCUGCCCAUUUAAAAAUCGAGUUGUUUUUCUUAUUAUUCAGUUGUAAGAGUUUUUUCUUUAUUCUGUGCAAAAGUCCUUUAUCAAGUCUAGGAUUUUUGAAUAUUUUCUCAACCUAGAGCUUGUUUUUCAACAUUUUUUUCUUAAUGAUCUUUUGAAGUGCAAAAGUUUGAUUUUGAUGAAGUCUAAUGUAUCACUUCUUCCUUUAACUGUCAUGAUUUUUGUGUCGUAUCUAAGAACUCUUUACCCAACUCAAAGUUACCAAGGUAUUUUCUUCCAGAAGUUUUGCAGUUUUAACUCUUCUAUAUAGGCCUGUGAUCCAUUUUUAAUUCAUUUUUUGCAUAUGAUGUGAGAGAAGGGCCUAAGUUCAUAUUCGUACAUGUGGAUGUACAAUGGUUCCAGGAUCACUUGCUGAGAAAAGACUAUCCUUUCCCCAUUGAUUUUUUUGGCACCUGUGUCAAAAAUCAAUUGACCAUAAAUGCAAGCGUUUAUAUCUGAACUCUCAGUUCUUCUCCAUUCAUCUCUAAGGAUAUGUCUAUGCUUACAUCAAUAUCACAGUGUAUUCAUGUGGCUUUGUAGUAAAUUUUGAAAUUGGGUGAUAGAAGUCUUUCAAUUUUGUUCUUAGUUUUCAGAAUAGUUUUGGCUGUACUUUGCAUUUUGAUACAAAUUUUAGGAUGUAUGUGUGAAGUUUUACAAAAAUGCUUGCUGGAGUUUUGAUAGGAAUUGUGUUGAACCUAUAGAUCUAUUUGAGGGGGGAAUUGCCAUCUUGACAAGCUUGAGUCUUCCAAUCCAUGGACAGGGAAUGUCUCCAUUUAUUUAAAUCUUCAUUAAUUUUUCUUAGUAACGUUUCACAAUUUUUAGCGUACAAGUCUUAAACUUUUAUUACAUUUAUUUCUGUUUAUUCUUUUUGAGGCUUUGUGAAUAGAAUUUUUUUAAUUUUAUUUUUUGGGCUUGACAUUGCUGAUAUAUACAAAUACAAUAGAUUUUUAAAAUACUGAUCUUAGAUCCUGCAGCUUUGCUAAAUUCUUCGAUUAGUUCUAGAUAUUUUGUGUAUAGAUUCCUUGGUGUUUUCUAUACGCAAGAUUAUGCCAUCUGCAAAUAGAAGCAGUUUUAAUUCUUCCUUUACUCUCAGUCUGCUUUUAAUGAGCUAUUAUGUCUUCUGUUCUGUAUUGGUCAAACCCUCACCUGGAUCACAGUAUUUAUUACUGACCAUCACAGUUUCCUUGAGGAAAUGAAAAAAAUUAAAAAGAUAAAGUAACUAUUACCAUAAUCCCUACAUUCGGACACAAUAUUUAUGAGCAUGUGGGGUAAAUUCUUCCAGACACUCUUGCUAGAGGACGUGUAGCAGAGCUUAUGAUGCACUGAGCCACAUCCUCCAGCCACCAGAUUCCAGUGUAGCUGUGGUGAACUUUGCCUUGCACUUUACCAGUGUCCAUAUAAGCUCAUAUCACAGUGUCUUUCUGUUUUGCUUUCUGGAGGUCAGGGAAGCCUGCUGAGCUAUAUGUAGACCCAACCCAUAUUUUCAAGGUAAUACUCCUUAGUUGAUAGAAGCCCUCAGUCGAUGGGAACAGGAUUUCAUGGAUUAAUGCCCCAGCUCCCCCAUCCUGCAGGACAUAGAAUGUGUGACUAUCCAAGAUGCUUGCAACAUGGUUUCUCAGAGUUCCCAAUGGAAUUGAAUCCCAGCUGCAUACAACUGUAACCCACUCAUUUAUUAACUUUUCUCCCUUCCUCUUUCCCUUCACUUCUGUUUCCUAAGACUACUUCCCUCUAAAUGAUCUGCACCCAAGUCCUUGUCUCAAGGUCUUCUAGAGAAACCCAAACUAAGGCAGUUUGUCAAGGGACAAACUAGGGUACAUCUUUGAAACAGUCAUUAGGAGAGUGAGAGGUCCUGCAACGAUGUAAUAUAAAAGCAGUGAAAAUAGCUGAGAAAAUUAGAAAAAGAGAAAACUUACAGGAAUAAUCAUAGUCAUCUUUAAAUACCUGCAAAGUAAUCAGAUAUAAGAGGACCAAAGGAGACACUGGUUUUAACUGAGCACCUUCCAGGUUAUAUACUAGCUACUAUGAAGUGUAUUUAUUCCAUCCUUACAGCAACCCAGAGGCAAUGAGAACUACCCUUAUUUUUCAAAUAAGAAAACUGAGACACAGAUGAUUAAGGAAUUUGCCAAGGUCCAAAGCUAACAGGUAUUGGAACUAGGAUUCAAAUCCAAGCCUGUCUGCCCCCUAACCUGUGUCUUGCUGCUGUGUGUUUUGCUUUGAAGGGCAAAACAGAGACCAGCAGGUAGACAUUCUAAAUCCAUAGAAUUGUGUUUAUAUGAAUGCAGUGUGUGGCAGAGAUUGUCUAGAUGUUCAUCAAUGCUGUUUUCUCUGUUCUGUUUCUGGACAUACAGGAACACUUCAUGUCCUAGCCUCCUUUAUAAGUAGAUUGGGGCCAUGUAACAGGGUUCUGGCAAAUGGGAAUGUGCAGAUGUGAUAUGUGAUGCUCCUGAUUCAUUCAUUCUGUCUCUUUCUCUCUCUCCCUCUCAGCUAGCUGAAAGCAGAGAACCCAGCAGAGGAUUCUGGGAAGGUCCUGGGGGAUGGCAGAGCCAGCAGAGAGAGGGUAUGGAUCCACCAGGCAUAGGAUGGAACAGAGCACUAUUGACCACAGUGAACUGGGGCAUGGGCAAUCAAUAAACACAUAUUAGAUUAAGCUAUUGAGACUCAGGGAUUUUUAUACAACUGACAUUCCCUAAGAAGCCAUGAUCUUCCUGUCUCAGGAGGUGCAUAAGCAGUGGUUGAAUGUUCAACAGUCAAGAAUGUUAUAAAAAGAGGUUCUUGGGAGAGUGGACCUGAUGGCCAGCAAAAAUCAUAGCUCACAUUUAUUGAGUUAUUAUGGCUCAGGCAUGUGCACAUAUUCUUUUAUUUAAAUCUACAAUAUGCUUUAUCAUGCUCAUUUUAUACAUGAGGAACACAAGGCAUGGAGAGGUUAGAUAACAUGCCUAAGAUCAUGAAGCAAGCAAGGGGGAGAAAAGAUACCCUUCUCACUCCUUCCAGACAGCUCACUUCACCACCACUCCCCACUGUCUCUAAAGCAAAAGUUAUUUGAAGGCUUAGGGACUGGUUUGGUAUUAUCCAUGCAGGGCGGUUUGUUUUGUUUUUCUUUUAAAAUUUCAGCCUAUGCUUAAAAGAUUUCAUGUAAAAAUUCUGUUUUCUAGUUUCUCUUGAAAAUUAAGAAGAUCUGGUAAAACUGGGCUUGAAGACCAUUAUGGUAACAGGCUGCUGAAGCUGAGGAGAGGGCCCCUUCAGAUGGGCAUAAGCACUGCUCCCCCUCCCCAACCCCCCUUUUAGGUUACUAUCAGACUCUGGAAGCUUCUGAAUGUGUGAACCCUGAAAGAGUCCAUCUAAAGCUAAGUUCUCCCCAGGGGUAGAGCCCAAUGCUGGGCAUACAGUAGGG